rnacentral:rRNA from 1 species
AAUCAACGCUGGCGGCGUGCCUCAGACAUGCAAGUCGAACGAUUAAAGCUCUCUUCGGAGAGUGCAUAGAGUGGCGCACGGGUGAGUAACACGUAAGUAAUCUACCCUCGAGUGGGGAAUAACGUCCGGAAACGGGCGCUAAUACCGCAUAAUGCAGCGGCAUCAUAAGAUGACAGUUGUUAAAGAUUUAUCGCUUGAGGAGGAGCUUGCGGCAGAUUAGCUAGUUGGUAAGGUAACGGCUUACCAAGGCUACGAUCUGUAACCGGUCUUAGAGGACGGUCGGCCACACUGACACUGAAUAACGGGUCAGACUCCUACGGGAGGCAGCAGUCGGGAAUUUUGGGCAAUGGGCGAAAGCCUGACCCAGCAACGCCGCGUGAAGGAUGAAGUAUUUCGGUAUGUAAACUUCGAAAGAAUAGGAAGAAUUAAUGACGGUACUAUUUAUAAGGUCCGGCUAACUACGUGCCAGCCGCCGCAGUAACAC